GACGAACGCUGGCGGCGUGCCUAAUACAUGCAAGUCGAGCGAAGUUUUUCUGGUGCUUGCACUAGAAAAACUUAGCGGCGAACGGGUGAGUAACACGUAAAGAACCUGCCUCAUAGACUGGGACAACUAUUGGAAACGAUAGCUAAUACCGGAUAACAGCAUUAACUGCAUGGUUGAUGUUUAAAAGUUGGUUUUGCUAACACUAUGAGAUGGCUUUGCGGUGCAUUAGCUAGUUGGUGGGGUAAAGGCCUACCAAGGCGACGAUGCAUAGCCGACCUGAGAGGGUGAUCGGCCACACUGGGACUGAGACACGGCCCAGACUCCUACGGGAGGCAGCAGUAGGGAAUCUUCCGCAAUGGGCGAAAGCCUGACGGAGCAACGCCGCGUGAGUGAAGAAGGAUUUCGGUUCGUAAAGCUCUGUUGUUAGGGAAGAAUGAUUGUGUAGUAACUAUACACAGUAGAGACGGCACCUAACCAGAAAGCCACGGCUAACUACGUG
rnacentral:rRNA from 1 species